UUGACCAAUUCCCUUAAUUAACCCCACAACACUCAUCCAGGGGAGCUGCGCUGCAGCUUGAACCUGAACUGUAUGUGUGAGGUCUGCUGUUUGGGGGGCGGGUUGAGAAUGUGAACUGUAUGUGUGAGGUCUUCUGUUUGGGGGGCGGGUUGAGAAUGUGAACUGUAUGUGUGAGGUUUGCUGUUUGGGGGGCGGGUUGAGAAUGUGAACUGUAUGUGUGAGGUCUGCUGUUUGGGGGGCGGGUUGAGAAGGGAGCAGAAGACACACAUAUUGUUGUUCGCUGUAACUAAUGGAAUAUUGUAUUGUAAAGAAUUCAGCCUUGACGUGGGGCAUUGUUCAAACAAAGCGAUGCCUCCCUGAGCCACUAG
ensembl:lncRNA